UACGAAGGGGACUAGCGUUGUUCGGAAUCACUGGGCGUAAAGCGCACGUAGGCGGAUUCGUAAGUCAGGGGUGAAAUCCCGGGGCUCAACCUCGGAACUGCCUUUGAUACUGCGGGUCUUGAGUCCGAUAGAGGUGGGUGGAAUUCCUAGUGUAGAGGUGAAAUUCGUAGAUAUUAGGAAGAACACCGGUGGCGAAGGCGGCCCACUGGAUCGGUACUGACGCUGAGGUGCGGAAGCGUGGGGAGCAAACAGG
rnacentral:rRNA from 1 species